UCCACUACCGAUGACAAACAAUACCUUAAAUUUAUAUUGCAGUUAAUGUAUGGACCCACUUCUUUUUUUCCCCAUUUGUGUUUUGCCAAGCAACCCUGAGUUUGUGGGUUACAUCACCAUCAAAACACACGACCAAACACGAAAGAAAAACAAACAAACUCGUCAUUUUCACUAAUGGAAGAAGCCUCAAGGCAAUCAUGGUGUCCACAAGGGCAGUCAAAGAAAGCACUCAUGAUUCCCUCUUGAAAAACUGCAUGGUGAUCGCAUAAGGGGAGUUUAUAUAGUUAUGGCCCUAAUUGGGAUUGGCUUUGGUUCAAUGUUUCUACGAACACCUUGUCUUUCUGAUUCAGAUAUGGUGUUUCUUCUUAAUGGGUGUAGGGAAUAGGAAUUAUUACUUCAAUCAUUUUGGGGUGGAAAAUGAUGGCUAAGGAGAUGCUGCAGUAGGGCACACCCUUUUGUUUUCCUCAUAUCAAGUUACUCACGGUUAAAUCCUCUUGUUAAUUUUUUUUUACAGCUUGUUAUCAGCAGCCACCCACCCACCUUGCCUUGUCCAAACCAUUGCUGAGGAUUCUGUAUUUCUUUAAUGUACGAACAUGAAAGGAAAGGAAGGAAUGUCCUGCUAAUUAAUGCCAGGCCACAAGAGAAAGAAGGAGUUGAGGCCUGUUUCCUCUACUGAUGACAAACAAUAGCAAUUGAUAUCUAUUGUAUGAAAAUUUGUUUCCAAGUUGGGUCACUGCUGGAUCAAAGAUUUGCAGUUAAUGUGUCCA